UCCGAUAUAGUGUAGGGGCUAUCACAUCACGCUCUCAUGUUGAAAACCGUGGAGACCGGGGUUCGAUUCCCCGUAUCGGAG
rnacentral:tRNA from 1 species